GGGCGAUUAGCUCAGUGGGAGAGCGCUUCCCUGACACGGAAGAGGUCACUGGUUCAAUUCCAGUAUCGCCCA
rnacentral:tRNA from 2 species